rnacentral:rRNA from 1 species
UACGUAGGGUGCGAGCGUUGUCCGGAAUUACUGGGCGUAAAGAGCUCGUAGGCGGUUUGAUAAGUCGGGUGUGAAAUCUCCAGGCUCAACCUGGAGAGGUCACUCGAGACUGUUAUGACUAGAGUCCGGUAGGGGACCACGGAAUUCCUGGUGUAGCGGUGAAAUGCGCAGAUAUCAGGAGGAACACCAGUGGCGAAGGCGGUGGUCUGGGCCGGAACUGACGCUGAGGAGCGAAAGCGUGGGUAGCAAACAGG